rnacentral:sRNA from 1 species
GCCAGGCACGGUGGCUCAUGCCUGUAAUCCCAAUGCCUUGGAGGCUGAGACAGGAGGAUCCUGAGUUCAAAACCAGCCUCAGCAAAGAUACUCAGUGAGACUUUGUCUCUA